rnacentral:lncRNA from 1 species
AUCAUGCAACGACUUUAGAAAACAAAGAAUGCACAGAUUUUAACUCUCCAAAUAAACGUUUAGGCUCAAGUCUUACAAGGUUGUAGCGUUAGUUUGAGUUUCUUCCUUCAAGCAUGUUACAAAAAAACUAAUUUUUUUCUUUUAUGAUUGCAUGUGAAUUCAUAAGUUAUAACCACAACUAAGCAUAACAAAGAGUAAAUCAAACUUUCAUCCAUGUUAAUCACUCUCUUUAACAGCCAUGUAAUUACAAACCGAAUCCUCAUCAUUGUGUUGGAAGGUACCCUAAGACACAAACAAACACACAAAAACAACUCUUUUUGGGUUUUUAAAACAAAUUUUUCAAAUUUUUAUGUGAUUUUCGGAUUUUUGCAUUAACACACACUAAAACACACCAAAACUGCUAAAAAACACCUAAAAACAGCAAGGAACAAGUCUCCAAGUUAAGGGUGAUAAAAUCCCACGAAUUUGCAUCUAAAACACUUAGUUACCCCCCCACACUUAAAUCAAACAUUGUCCUCAAUGUUUCAAGCAUAAAAUCACACUAAACAAAAAGAAACAUAAAACAGCAAGUAAAACAACUAAAAUAGGCAGAUUCAAAAUAAACAACAAAGAGAAGGGUUUAGGAACGCAAAUCUGGAAUUGGAGUGAUUCCUUGGGCUUCCUUUGUUGAAUUGCAUGGGUUGCCUCCCAAGUAGCGCUUUCUUUAACGUCGUACAGCCGGACGAAAAGCCCUUUUAUUCUCCAUUUGUGCUCACGGCACCCAAAGAAAUAUCCUCCACGGUUUGUUCAACAAAGUUCUCAUAAUAUGGCUUCAAACGGUGUCCGUUCACUCGGAAUUCAUGACCUGUUUUGAGACUUUGAAUCUGGAUGGCACCAUAAGAAGAUAUGUUAGUAAUAACAAACGGUCCAAUCCACUUAGAACGUAACUUACCGGGAAACAACCGUAACCGGGAAUUGAACAAUAGCACUUUCUGCCCAAUUGAGAAUGAUUUCCCACGGAUCAUGUUGUCAUGGAAAGCUUUGGUCUUUUGCUUGUAAAUGCUUACAUUAUCGUACGCCUCAAGCCGUAUCUCAUCAAGCUCAUUUAAUUGCAAUCUCCUUUGACUUCCUGCUUCCUCGAGGUUCAUGUUAAACUUCUUAAUGGCCCAAAGUGCUUUGUGCUCCAAUUCAACAGGAAGAUGGCACGCCUUGCCAUGGACAAGUCGGAAGGGGGACAUCCCAAUGGGUGUUUUGUACGCCGUACGAUACGCCCAAAGUGCGUCAUCAAGUCGUAGACUCCAAUCCUUCCUCGUUGGCCCAACGGUCUUCUCUAGGAUUUGCUUGAUCUCACGGUUGGAAACCUCGGCUUGCCCAUUAGUUUGAGGAUGGUAAGGUGUAGAAACCUUAUGGGUGACACUGUAUUUCCUCAAUAACGCUUCAAUAGUCCGAUUGCAAAAGUGUGACCCUCCGUCACUAAUGAUCACUCGUGGCAUUCCGAACCUUGCAAAAAUGUUAGUUCUAAUAAAAUCUGCAACCACCUUAGAAUCAUUAGUCCGGGUGGCCUUGGCUUCCACCCACUUUGACACAUAAUCAACCGCAAGCAAAAUAUAUGUAAAACCAUACGAAGAAGGAAAAGGACCCAUAAAAUCAAUACCCCAAACAUCAAAAAUUUCAACAUUUAGGAUAGACACCUGCGGCAUUUGGUCCCUAGCACUAAUACCACCCAUUCGUUGGCAUUUAUCACAUGUUAAGCAAAAGUUUUAGCAUCUUUAAAAAUACUAGGCCAAUAAAAUCCACAUUGUAACACCUUAAGGGCUGUGCGUUGUGUACCAAAGUGCCCUCCACAUGCAUAUGUGUGACAAAAACUCAAAAUUGAAUGACAUUCAGAAUCGUGCACACAACGACGUAUAAUCUGAUCGGGGCAAAAUUUCCAUAAGUACGGAUCAUCCCACACAUAAAACCGUGCAUCAUGCCUAAGUUUAUCACGUUGGUGCCUAGUGAACUCACUUGGAAAUACGUUUUGACACCAAAAAAUUAAACAAUAUCGGCAUACCAAGGUGCACUAACCUUAAUGGACAGCAAUUGUUUCAUCGGGGAAUGUCUCCAAAAUCGGCACCAACUCCUCAUUAUGCACCAUUCGGCUUAGGUGGUCAGCCACCACGUUCUCACUUCCCUUCUUGUCCCGAAUCUCUAUGUCGAACUCUUGAAUUAACAAUAUCCAUCGAAUUAGCCGUGGCUUGGCCUCCUUUUUGGUGAGCAAGUACUUCAGAGCUGCAUGAUCAGUGAAAACAAUUACUUUAGUUCCAAUUAAAUAUGAUCGAAAUUUAUCUAAAGCAAAGACAACGGCAAGAAGUUCUUUUUCCGUAGUGGAGUAGUUCAAUUGUGCAUCGUUCAACGUCCGUGAGGCGUAGUAAAUGACAUGCGGCCUCUUUUCCUUUCUUUGUCCUAAAACAACUCCUAAAGCAUAGUCGGACGCAUCACACAUGAGCUCGAAAGGUAGACUCCAAUCCGGUGGAACAAUGAUGGGUGCCGUGGUCAACAACUCCUUGAGUUGGUUGAAUGAUGCCGUGCACUCCUUGGUGAAUUCAAACGCCACUUCUUUUUGUAGGAGUCGGCAAAGAGGUUGUGCUAUCUUCGAGAAAUCUUUGAUAAACCUACGAUAAAAUCCUGCAUGGCCAAGAAACGAACGAACCUCUCUAACCGAAGUCGGAGAGGGUAAGUGACGUACAAGAUCUAUUUUCGCCUUAUCAACCUCAAUACCCUUUUCAAAAGAUUAUAUGACCUAAAACGAUACCUUUGUUUAACCAUAAAAUGACACUUUUUCCCAAUUAAGUACAAGGUUAGUUUCAACACAACGUUUUUAGGAUCACACUUAGAUUAUGCAAGCAACUAUCAAACGAAUCACCAAAUACGCUAAAAUCAUCCAUAAACACUUCAAUUAUCUUUUCUACAUGAUCAGAAAAUAUGCUCAUCAUACAUCUUUGAAAUGUAGCAGGUGCAUUACAUAAACCAAAAGGCAUGCGACGAUAUGCAAAGGUACCAAACGGGCAUGUAAAAGUGGUUUUUUCUUGGUCCUCGGGUGAAAUGACAAUUUGAUUAUAACCAGAAUAACCAUCAAGAAAACAAUAAAAAGCAUAACCCGCUAACCUCUCAAGCAUUUGGUCAAUGAACGGCAAUGGGAAGUGGUCCUUCCUCGUGGUGGUGUUUAGCUUCCUAUAGUCAAUGCACACCCUCCAACCGGUUUGAAUACGUUGAGGGACAAGCUCAUUUUCAGCAUUAGCUACCACCGUCACUCCGGAUUUCUUCGGUACGCAUUGAACCGGCGAAACCCACCUAAUAUCCGAGAUUGGAUAGAUAACCCCACAAUCUAGAAGUUUUAUGAUCUCCUUUUUCACUACUUCCAUCAUCGGAGGGUUAAGACGGCGUUGAGCCUCUCUAGUUGGUUUGGCCCCCUCCUCAAGAAAUAUGUGAUGCAUACAGGUCGUAGGGCUUAUACCUUUAAUAUCGGCCAAUGUCCAACCUAGGGCAGAUUUGAACUCCUUCAAAACUCGAAGCAACUUCUCCUCCUCCUGUGAAGUGAGGGAAGAGGAAAUGAUGGCAGGUAGUGUUUCCUUUUCUCCCAAGAAAAUGUACUUCAGAUGGCUUGGCAAAGGCUUGAGUUCAAGGAUAGGUGCCUGAAUUAUAGAUGGAAGCAAUUUGUUAGUCGAAAUGGGAAUGGACUCACGGUUAGUAUACUUACCAUCAAGCUUAGGUAAGGACUCAAGGGCAGCCACAACUUCAAGUAAUUCCUCACUAGGGGGGCACGGCACAAGAUGACUCAUGUAUGCCGUGGGCAUGCAUGCAAUCUGCCCCCUUGUUUUAAUUUCCAUGCCUCGUGUAAUGACUUUUUCAAGCGCAUCGUCAUUUAAAUCGUCGAGAUAUCCCUGCGCCAAAGAGUCAAUUAUAUCAAUAGAAAAGCAUGAAUGGUCCUCACUAGGGUAUUUAAUGGAAUCAGAAAGAUUAAAAUUAACAACUUCCCCAUCGAAUUCCAUGGACAAAGUUCCACUAUACACGUCAAUCUUCGUCCGGGGCCGUCUUCAUGAAUGGCCUUCCAAGUAGAAUGGGCAGCGAAGGAGCAUGGUCCGAUUCAUCCAUUUCAAGGACAUAGAAAUCCGCCGGGAAGACUAAAUGAUUAACCUGCACAAGAACAUCUUCCAAAACUCCCUUUGGAUAGGCGUUAGAUCUAUCGGCCAAUUGUAUUAUUACCCCAUCAUUUUUCAAUGCUCCUAAGUUCAUAGAUGCAUAAAUGGAAUAUGGCAUAACAUUUAUAGAAGCACCUAAAUCAAGCAUGGCAGAUUCAAAUCUAGUAUUCCCAAUAACACAAGGAAUGGUAAAGCUACCUGGAUCUUUACAUUUGGGAGGUAAUUUGCGUUGCAAAAUGGCAGACACAUUCUCACCUACCUUGACCACUUCCUUGGUCGACAUCCUCUUCCUCGUGGUACACAACUCCUUCAAGAACUUAGCAUACCUCGGAACUUGCUUGAUUGCAUCUAACAAAGGUAUGUUAACUUGAACUCUCCUAAAGGUUUCAAGGAUAUCCUUUUCUGCCUCUUCUUUCUUCGUUUGCAGGAACCUACUAGGAAAAGGCACAUUUGAAGGGAAAACAUUAGUAUGAACUGGAUUGGACACGUUCUUACCUUUGUGGGACGAAUUGGGCAGAUUUGGGACAUUAGGGACUUGCGGCAAAGGUGGAACCACCUUUGCCGUGGGCUGCUUUGAUGCCUCCUCUUCCAAUUCCAAAAGUUCAUCCUCAUUAUGACCUGUUUUUGGUGUAGAACCUGCCCCAACUUCCUUACCACUUCUUAGGGUGAUAGCUUUGGCACUUUCGAAACCUCCCUUCGGAUUUGGAAUGGUGGAACUAGGGAGUUGUCCGGGAUCUCGAAACUUACCUACAAACUCGGCAAUCUGCCCAAUUUGUUUCUCAAGUUGAUCCACCCUUUUAUCUUGGUUUUGCAUAGCCUUUGCUUGAUCUUCCUGCCCAUUAGACAACUUAGUUAGUAUCUUAAGAAGUGCAUCAUUGUCAAGAGACGUACCUGAGGCACUUGGGCCGGAUUGGGCUUGAUUUUGGGGUGGGCCGUAGGUUUUGGGAAAGAACCCCGGGGGUUGUUGCCUAAAGCCUCCUUGGUUCUGAGGUUGCUGAGGCUCCCUCCACUUGAAAUUUGGGUGAUCUCUCCAACCGGGAUUAUAUGUGUUUGAAUAUGGAUCGUUCCUUGGUUGGUUUUGCCCUUGAAACCCAAUUGCAUGAGCGCUUUCCCAUCCGCCAUUUUCAAUCAACUGUGGACAUUUUUCAGAGACAUGUCCUUGGAUGGAACAUACGCCACAUACAAUUGGUCCUUGCAUCUUCAUGCCUUCGGCCAUCUGAGACACAAGAGAAGUAAGAUUAGCCAAUUGUGAAUGAAGAUCAGGAGUUGAACUUACCUCAUGUACUUGGUGCCGUGGGGGUCCUCUUUGGCCUACACCCUCGUACUGUUGAGCGUUCAACGCUCUAUUAGCAAUCAAGACCUUGGCAGCCAUGGGUGUUUUGUCCACCAAUGCUCCCCCCGCCGAAGCAUCAAGCAUUUGACGUUCUAGAGGUAGGAGGCCCUCGUAGAAAUAUUGCAAGAGCAAUUCCUCCUUCAUCUGAUGCUGUGGACAAGAAGCAACAAGUGAUUUAAAUCGUUCAUAAUAUGUAGGAAAAGACUCACCUUCUUCUUGCUGAAUUCCGCUUAUCUUUUUGCGUAGGAGGAUGAUGCGAGAAGUUGGAAAGAACUUCUCCAAGAACGCUCUCUUCAUACUCUCCCAAGAAGUGACAGUGCCGGGAGCUAACUCAUAUAACCAAUCCUUGGCUUUAUCCAUCAAAGAGAAUGGAAAAGCCUUCAUCUUCAAGAUAUUUCCGUCAACAUUGACGGGAGUCAUACUAGAGCAAACUACUUCAAAUUCUUUCAAAUGUUUGUUAGGAUCUUCCAUGGACAAGCCAUGGUAUUUAGGAAUAUGAUGAAGCAAACUUGACUUUAAUUCAAACUCAUCCGUCUUACCUUGGGCAGCCAUGGGGUAUUGAAUGCACAAGGGUGCGGCAUUAUCCAAACCCGAGGCGGAAAGCUCAUUGAGUGUACGAUUGUCCAUGGCCAUGCCUUGGACUUCUUCAAAUAUCCCUGCCGUGGCUUCCUCCUCCUCUUCUUGUACGUUUUCUUUUCUUCAAGGUCAGAUUCGGAAUUGGGUGGAUGGUGUUCUUGCUGGUUUCUAGCUCUUCUUAACUUCCUCUCAAAAUCGUCGUCAAAAUCCAAGAUGUUUGUACGAAUCGGUUGAGAGCUUCUAGUCAUACAUUAGUACCUAAGAAACAAGAAACAAAAUUAGGUCAGAAACUUAAACAAAGUCAGAAACAAAGUGAAAUAAAAGAAACAAAAACAAUCCAAGGGAUUAGCAAAUUUGCUAAUCCCCGGCAACGGCGCCAAAAAUUUGAUGCGAAAUAUAUUAAGCACACAAAUUAAACCCUCUUUUUGUCAAAUUGUAGCAAAGAUGUAAGUAGGGAUCGUUCUAAACCGGGGAUUAGGAGGGAUUGCUAAACACUUGGAAACUGACUUAAAAACUCAAAAACAAGGUUUAAAACACUAAACUAGACUCAAAGAAUGCAAAAGUAAAGGUUAAAACACUUAAACAAACCUAAAACUCAAAACAGCAACUAGAAGGCUCAAAACUGCCUAAAAACCACUUUCUGGGCAGUUUGAGCACCUACACUAAUUUGAACGAAAUUUGAUGAAAACUUGAAUCAAAAUACUUAGAAACACAAAUCAAAACACUUUCUAACUAAUCUAAGACUUCAAAUUAAAGGGGGAUUUGUUUUUGGACGAAAAUUUAACAAACACAAAACAGAAACUUGAAAACUAAACAGAUUGUAAAAAACGAUUUUGGUGAAAUAGAUGGAUAAAAGGCUAGUUAGGAGGUUCUUCUCCACACAUGUCACACUUGCAAACAAAACGAUUUUCAGUUGUUCUUCCAAUAAAUUAUAAAGACUCAAUGCCCCGAAUUAACUGUGAAUUGCACUAAUUAACCCUCAGUUUUUCCAGAAUUUAUCAAGUUGGAUGAUUGCAUACGACAACUCAAAAACAUUCCCUACAAGUUCCCUACAUGAAUUGCAUAAUAGAGAUACAAGCAAGAAUCAUUACGUUCUAUGAAAAACAUAAGCAUUGACGAAGCAUUUUGUUACUAUGAAUUGCAUGAAACUUAUGCUAAGAAUUCAUUCAACGCGAUCGUUUUCAAGCGAUCUUCACACUACUUGUGAUUAUAAGAUUGUAACUAUUAGGUGAAACUCCCUCAUAAUCUAGCAUCAUAUUCAUGCAUGAAAAUUAAGCGUGCACUCUCAAUCAACAUACACAAAUAAGUUAUCAAUCAAAUAGAUGAACGAAAUUGAAUCCAUAACUCAUGAAAAUAACAACUGAAUGAAUGUAAUCGAAUCAAAUUGCAAGCAUGUACAUGGUUUCGAAUCACCCCCCAACUAAGGGGGUUUAGUUCCUCAUACUCACAACACAAAGUUUUAUUGAAUUGAAAACAUCGAAGACAUAAGAAGAUUACACCCUAAAAUGCCAAAGAAGUCUACUUUGAAUUCUGCACAGAAAGCUCCUCUUUCUUCUUCUCCUUGUUGCGGCAGAGUUGGUUUAGGGGGUUUUUGGAUGGUUUUUGGAUGACUUUGGAUGAGAGGAGAAUGAUGGAAAACUAUCUAGGGUAGGUGUAGGGCACGGCUAGGAAGGUUUGGGGUCAGAAAAUAUGGAUUUGGGUGUAGGUUGGGCUCGGCAAAGGUGAGGGAACAGGUUCUGGCGUGAAUGGAGUUUUGCUGGAUGUGUUUUUUUUGGUUUUUAGAAGGGAGUUAGGAUGGUAGGGUGGUGCGGCAAGGUGUGGGAAAGAGUUAUGGAGGUGUGGAAUGGUGUCUAAAGGUGGAGGAUGGUGGCUGGAAUGGAUCAAAGGCUGCGGCAAGAUGUGGUUUUGGUGAUGGUAGCUGCGGCAAGAGGUGGGGAAAGGGGGAGAUGACUUUCUGAUUUUAUGGAGAGGGAAGAAGAACUUCGGCAAGGUGGUUAAAACACAAAAUAUAUAAGCACCUAAAACCCUAAUGAAAUCAGAUUAGACAACAAUGGGCUAGGGUUAGGUGCGGCACUUAAGUGAACAUGGGCUAGGGUUUGUAAAAAUAGGCUUCUAGGAUGGAAAGGUGCGGCUUGGGUGUAGGAGGAAUGGACUAGGGUUUAACAUGGCAGAUUUUUAGAUGAUUAGGCCCUAGGGUUCGGCAUGGGUUGAAGGUCCACAAGGAAAUUUGGGUUUAGGUCAUCUAAAAGCCCAACGCCAAGAAUAGAAACUCUCGAAAAAUGGAAACCUCCAAGAAUAGAAAACUUCCAACUUUUAGAAACUUUGUUUGGUUGCCAAUUCCGAUUUAGAAAGAAAUCGACCAAAAUGGAAACUUUUAGGCUUUACUUCCAUCAAGUAGGAAAAACAACUCAAAACUUUCUUCAACUCUUAGCAUUCUACAUACUCAACUUUGCGUUUCAAGCCCUUCAAUCUUCAAACUUCAAUUCUAUUUCCAACUUUGCGUUCCAAGCAAUGUCCUUUUCAAAUUGCAAGCUCAAAUUUUUCCAAGCUCAAUUGUUCAUUCAUGUACGUCCGCUAAACCUGAAAACACAAGAAAGUAGCUUAAAAGACUACUUUAACAAAGAAAACAUAACAAAAAUGCAUAAGAACUAGCUAACUAAGGCGCAUAAAUAUGCUCCUAUCAUUCUUCGCCUCGUUUUAUCCAUUGUGUAGUUAAGGAUUUGCAUAAUGAUAAGGUGCAAUUCAUUACCUUUGUUUAUGCUUAUCAUUAGAAACAUUUACAAGCUUGGGAGAGGCUCAUACACCAACAAACCAUCCUUGGUGUUUAAUUGGAGACUUCAAUAAUAUUGUGGACUUCACUGAAAAGCUUGGGAGAUGCUCUAAUACUACUACCUACAUGAAUAACUUCAUUGAUUUUCUAAAUAAGAGUGACUUGAUUUCCCUAACUGCUUCCGGUGUUCCUUAUACUUGAACUAAUGGUCAUAGUGACAACACUAGAAUUUAUGAGAGUUUUGAUCGUGGUGUUGCUAAUCCUUAGUGGUUAGAGAGUUUCAUGACUUUUCUUUACAUAAUUUUCCUAUCAUUGGAUCGGAUCAUAGUCCCAUCUUACUUACUAAUAAUGUAAACCCUGUUAAAAAAAGCUCUUAUUCCUUCAAGUUUGAAGCUCUGUGGUUACGUCUGAUAGGAGCAUAUUUAUGCAACUUAGUUAGCUUGUUUCUUGGCAUUUACUUAGUUUAAUUCUAGUUAUUUUAGUACUUUAAGCUAUUUUUGUGUGUUUGUAGGUUCAAAUAACAAAGUUGGCAACAAAGUGCUAUUUGCAGCAUUUUUGGGCCAAGAUUGGAUAGUACAAGCAUGGAGACAUGAGAAUGGACGUUUUUUAAGAUUAGAAGGCUAGAAAUCAGCAUGUGUGUGUGCAAGUGUGUUGACCUACAACUACAAACAUCAUAGCUGCCAUGUGAUGACAGAAAAUGUGUUGAUUGCUAGCUGAAAUGAUGAAGAUGAACACGUCACAUGGAAGAAAUAUGGACAGCACACACACAUGCAAAGAGGAACACGGCAUAGGCAGAAAAGGUGUUGAUUGGUAGCUGAAAUGAUGAAGAGCAUGUGUUUGCAAGAGUAACAGCUGGUACAUGUGGAAAUAAAGAGAGAAAACAGCAAGAAAGACACAGCAUGGGCAAUAAAAAAUAAAGAAUGAAGGAGUGGAAAUGAUGAGUACAUGGACAACACACACAUAGGAAAGAAAGGCACGGCAUGGGUAGAGAAUGGGUUAAUUUAUGGCCGAAAUGAUGAAGAGCAUGUGUGUGUGUGAAUGUAACAGCUAGUACAUGUAGAGAUACAACAUAAAGCACGGCACAUGGGAGAAAAGAGGGCAUACACACACAUGCAAAGUGCAUGGACAGCUUGGAGGGCAGAGAGACACAUGCAAAGUGUGGAGACAUCAUUCAUACACACACAUACAAGGGGGACAAUUCUACAUGCAAGGAAAUUGGGGUCUUUUCUCUUUUAACAUUCAACCAUCCCUUCUCCUUAAACAUACACAAACCAUACCACAACAAAGCAUGACAUCUCACAAAUCCAUUCCCUUCCAUUCCUUGCCGUGAGCUCCAUGCACUACACCCAUUACAUCGUCUCAUUACCACAACACUCAUCCACUACACUCAUUACAUCCACUCAUUACCACAACACUCAUCCACUACACUCAUUACAUCCACUCAUUACCAAACAUCCAUCAACUACACCCAUUACAUCCACUCAUUACCAAACAUCCAUCCACCACACCCAUUACAUCCACUCAUUACCACAACACUCAUCACUACCACCUUAAUUAGAUGGUGGUCCUCUCCCUAGCCUAUAAAUACAUCCACCCUUCACCAUAACAAGGGAAGAAAAAAAUCAGAAAAAAAAAUCCAUCCAAAGACACUACAUUCACAUCUCACAACUCCAUACACUUACACUUUCAUUCCUUGGCCGUGAGCACCAUCCAUUCAUCCAUUCAUCCAUUCAUUUCCCAUAUAUCUCAAAACACAACUCCAUACACUCCCUUCCCUUGGCCGAGACAUUCACCAAUCCUAAAUACAUUCAUAACCUUUCCAUAUAUCCAUACACAUCCUUAGACACUUGUGCUGCAACAAGGUGGUGAAAAUGAAGGUCCUUGGCGUUUCAAGCUUGAAACUUUGAAACGUUUUAGGUGUAUUUUGUUCUUGCUUUCAAUGUCUACUUUGUUAUUUUUUGAUUUUGUUGCAAUUAUGAGUACCUAAACCCCCCUUAGUUAGGGGGAAUUCGAAACCAUGUUCAUGCUUGCAAUAUGAUUUGAUUAAUUUCAGUUGUGAUUCAUAAGUUGUGAAUUCAAUCUACUUAUCCAUUUGAAUUAAAACUGAUUUAUGUGUGUUGGUUGAGAGUGCACGCUUAAUUUUCAUGCAUAAAUCUUAUGCUAGGAUAUAAGGGAGUUUCACCUAAUCGUUAUGAACUUAUAUUCACAAGUUGUGAAGGUUGCUCGUCACAACCGUGUUAAGUAAAUUCUUGGCAUAAGUUUCAUGCAAUUCAUAGUUACAAGUGUUUAGUCCAUGCUUAUGAUUUUCAGAGAACUUAAUGAUUCUUGCGUGUAUCUCUAUUAUGCAAUUCAUGUAGGGAACUUGUGGGGAAUGCUUUGGGUUAUUGUAUGCAAUCAUCCAAUUCAAUGAAAUUAGGAAAAUCUGAGGGUUAAUUAGUGCAAUUCAUAGUUAAUCUGAGGCAUUGAGAAUUCGUAGUUUAUUGAAAAGCAACUGGAAAUCGUUUUGUUUGCAAGUGUGUCAUGUGUGGAGAAGAACCUCCUAGCUAGCCUUCCAUCCAUUCAAUUUACUCAAAUUCGUGCAAAUUUCAUUAGUUCUUUAAUUUACUUGUUUUGUUUUCAAAUUCGUCAAAACCAAAACCCCAUUUACCGUGUUGAGUCAUAUUAGUUAGAAACUGAUUUAGUUUGUGUUUUUAAGUAUUUCGAAGUUAAAACCAAAAUUCGUCCAAAAGUGUGUUAAAAUCCAAAUCUGCCCAGUUUGUGUUUUUAGGUAGAUUUGAGCGUUUUUAGCUUGUUUUGAAUUCGUUGAGUCUAGUUUAGUGUUUUUAAGUCAGUUUAUAGGUUAUUAGCAAGCCCUCCUAAUCCCCGGUCCAGAACGAUCCCUACUUACAUUCUUUACUACAAUUGAUACAAGAGGGUUUAAUUUGUGUGUUAAGUAAUUUUCGUAUCAACGUCAUCCUAAUUUUAGGAAUUUUGUCGAAAGUGCUUGGACUUGUACAAAUACUUCAAGGCUAUAAGAAAAGUUUGUUGCUUGUGCAGGGACAUUCAAGUAUUUGGUAAGGAAGUGGAACAAAGAGACCUUUGGUAAUGUCAAAGAUCGUAAAGAUAAGCUUUUAACCUCUCUCAGUGAUAUUCAAAAAAAAAUUAUGAGGGAUCAAGAUAACUCUAUAAGCAUGCAUGACGAGGUUAAAAUUAGAAGUGAGCUUAACAGAGUUUUAUAGGAAGAGGAAAUUAUGUGGGCUCAAAAAGCUAAGGUUAAGUGUGGCUUCAAUUGGGAGAUAAAGAUACUAAAUAUUUUCAAACGGUGGCUUCUAUCCGUAAGAAAAGAAAUGAUAUAAAAUCUACUAAAGACAGUAAUGGUUUCUAGUGGAAUUAUGGGGAAAAUCUAUAGCAAGUUUUUGUGCAGGAAUUUAAAUUGCGUUUUUCUUGUGAUAAUUCCCCUUCUCAGGAGACAUUAGCUACAAUGGUUGAUAUCAUAACUCCUUGCAUUGAUCAUACACAUAAUAUGCAACUACUUGAAUGUAUUUUAGAUGAGGAAAUUUGGGAAGCGAUGAAUAGCAUUGGUGUGUUAAAAGCACCCGGACUUGAUGGUCUUUGUGCUGCUUUUUACCAAGGUUGUUGGGAAGAGGUUAAAGAUACUAUUAUUCCUAUGAUUAAAGAUUUCUUUCAAAAUAAUUCAAGCCUAAGGUUUUGAUGCGUAUAUAGAUAAGCACACAAAUUAAACCCUCUUUUGUCAAAUUGUAGUAAAGAUGUAAGUAGGGAUCGUUCUAAACCGGGGAUUAGGAGGGAUUGCUAAACUCUUGAAAACUAACUCAAUAAUGUAAAAACAAAGUUUAAAACACUAAACUAGACUCAAAGAAUGUAAAAUUAAAAGUUAAAACACUUAAACAAACAUAAAACUCAAAACAGCAACCUAAUGACUCAAAACUGCCUAAAAAUCACUUUCUGGGCAGUUUUGAGAACCUAACAAGAACUUGGACGAAGUUGGAUCAAAACUUGGAUCAAAACACUUAAAAACACAAAUCAAAACACUUUCUAACUAAUCUAAGACUUCAAAAUAAAGGGGGAUUUGUUUUGGACGAAAAUUGAAAACAAAACAGAAACUUUAAAACAAAACAGAUUGUAAAACGUUUUUGGAUGAAAAGGAUGGAUAAAAGGCUAGUUAGGAGGUUCUUCUCCACACAUGUCACACUUGCAAACAAAACGAUUUUCAGUUGUUCUUCCAAUAAAUUAUGAAACUCAACACCCCAAGUUAAUUAGAUACGCUUAAAUUAACCUUCAAGUUCUCCUUAAGUUAAUGAAUUGGAUGGGAAAAACGCAUACAACAAUUCAAAGCAUUCCUCAAAGGUUCCUUACGUGAUGAGCACAAUAAAGAUACAGUCAAGAAUCAUGAAGCACGAUGAGAACUAUAAGUGUUGACGAAGCAUUCGUUACUAUGAUGAGCAUGAAACUCGUGCCAAGAAUUCAUUCAACGCGAUCGUUUUCAAGCGACCUUCACUACUUGUGAUUAUAAGAUUGUAACUAUUAGGUGAAACUCCCUCAUAAUCUAGCAUCAUAUUCAUGUAUGAAAACUAAGCGUGCACUCUCAAUCAACAUACACAAAUAAGUUAUCAAUCAAGUAGAUGAACGAAUUGAAUCCAAAACUUAUGAAAUAACAACUGAAUGUAAUCAAAUCAUAUUGCAAGCAUGAACAUGGUUUCGAAUCACCCCCCAACUAAGGGGGUUUAGUUCCUCAUACUCACAACACAAAGUUUAUUGAAUUGAAACAUUGAAAACAUAAGAAAGAUUACACCUAAAAGUUCCAGCAAUCUGCAAUAGACUAGCAAGCACAUUCAAGAGCACUCCUUCUUCUUUCUUGCUGCGGCACAAGGUAUGGAGAUGGUUUGGAUGGGUUUUGGAUGAUGGAGAAUGGUGGGAAGGUGUCUAGGAUGGGUGUAUGGCACGGCUAGGAAGGUUUGGGGUCAGAAAAUAUGGAUUUGGGUGAAGGUUGGGCACGGCAAAGGUGAGGGAAAGGUUUCUGGCGUGAAUGGAGUUGUAUGGAUGUGUGUGGAAUGUUUUGUGGCUGCAACCAAGAGGUUUAUUUAAAGGAAAACAGAAAUUAAAACCCUAGGUUGAUUAGGAAAUCAGAAAUUAAGUCUAAGGAUUCUAGAAUUAGGAAAUAAAAUCAGAAACUUAAAGGAAACCCACCAAAAGUUGCGGCAAUUACUUAAAACACAAAAGGAAUGUGUUUUAAGUCAGAUUUUGGGAAAGAAACCCUCCCCCUUGCACGGCAAGGAAGAGGAAAGGAUGAGGGAGGUGCGGCUCAUGUCUUAAGAAAGGAAACAUGUCCUAAAACUAAAGGGAAAUAGGUCUACUUGUGCGGCAAGGGUUUGGGAAAGGUCUAAGUCACCUAAAACUGAUGGGAAAGAGGAUCCCUUGCAUGGCAAGGAAGGGGGAUUAAGGGAAAGGUGCGGCAAAGGUCCUAGAGUGGUUUAGGGCCUUUGUUUGGUGUCCCAAAGUGCUUAAAAGGUAUUCAAAAUGGCUGGAAAUUAAGGACAUUUAGGAAUAGGGAAGGUCAACCAAAAUAGGAAACCUUGGCUUAACUUUCCUACUUUAAGUAGGAAUCCUUGUUGGAGUAGGAAUCCUUGUUCUUCUAGGAAUCCUCAAAUGAGUAGGAAUCCUUCUUCAAUUAGGAAUCCUUUGUUGAUUAGGAAUCCUUCUUGCAUUAGGAAACCAACUUUCUUCAAGACUUCAAUUCAUCCAUUCCUUUUGCUCCAAAAGGCUCCAAUUUGCUUCUUUUUGCACACUUUGACCUUAGAACCUGAAAACACACAAAAGUGACUUUAAACACUAAAAUAGCUAAGUAAACACAACCUAAAUGCACGAGAACAAGCCAAUUAAGUAGCAUGAAUAUGCUCCUAUCAAAUUCCCCCACACUUAGCUUUUCCUAGUCCUCGAGCAAAACAAACAAAAGAAAGGAAACAAAACGAAACAAACUAACCAAAACAAAACCUACACCUUCCAACGUUUGCCUCAGGGAUUUCCAAUGCACAUGACAUGUUAAAGAUUGUUAUCCCCACAGAUUUGAGUUCUCUUCACUCAUAAGCACAUACUUAAUUAAAGCCACUACUUACUAGUUCACAAGUAAUCAAUUAAAACAAUGCUUUGAAUGUAGUAACAUGCCUUAGAGAAUUCCCUCAAUUCCUUACAAGAUAUACACUCUAUUUUCACUCAGAUUUUCUAACUACACACCCUACACUAGUCAUAUGUGAGAAGAUUGAUGUAGAUAUGAAAACGAAUGCUCACAUAUAUGUAUCACAAAGAACGCAAUUUCUAGAGUUAAGAAGCAUAUUUAGAUAUGAUCUCAUGAAUGGAAUGCUACUACUUAGAUGCAAGAACCAGUGACACCAUAUGCUCAUACCAAAUUCAAACUCCACAAAUUGAAACACAUAACACUCAAGAUAGAAGUUAAGGGUUGUAAUGGGGCUUGGGGUGUUGGUUAACAAGGAAAGGAUAGGGAAAACAAACGUUCUUCAAGCAAUAGUAAGCAAAGCAAUGAAAUUGAGACUUAGAAUUCACUUAGAUUGCAGAAAUUAACUUUAAAACACAAGGGGAAGACUUAAACAACUCCUUAGGGCCGAAUUCAUUGUUUUGGACCCUUACUUCAACAAACCAUACUUUGGAACUCUUUUUCUCAACCUUUCAACUCUUUUUUCAAACUUUUCAUAUUUUUUUCUUCAAUUUUUCUUUUUCCACGAAAUUUUUUUUAUUUUUUAUUUUCUUUUCUUUGCCGUGCCCAUGGCACACAAUUCCUCAAAAAACACUUCCCCCACACUUAUUUUCUGCCAACAUAAAUCAAAAGGAAUUCAAUUUGAAUCAUGCUUUACUAUGCUUCAAGAACAAGGGUAAGGAUGGUCCUAAUCUAGGCUAGGUGAGGGUAAUGUGGGUUAACAAAGAAAAGGCUAAACAAGGCUCAACGGGGUUAAACUUAAACAUAUAAUGGAGUAGGGCACACGGCUUUUUGGCUAAGGUGGUGGUCACUACACAACUUCAUCUUGAAUAUGUGUUAUGCAAUUCAAUGACAUGCUUUGAAUGAAAUGGGCAUGAGUUCUAGUAUUUGGAACUAAAUGAUGAAACGCCUUCUAAGUAGCAAUCAAGCAAGGAAUAAUGAGAUCAUGCAACGACUUAGAAAACAAAGAAUGCACAGAAUUUAACUCUCCAAAUAAACGUUUAGGCUCAAGUCUCACAAGGUUGUAUCGUUAGUUUGAGUUCCUUCCUUCAAGCAUGUUACAAAAACUGAUUUUUCCUUUAUGAUUGCAUGUGAAUUCAUGAGUUAUAACCACAACUAAGCAUAAACAAAGGGUAAAUCAAACUUUCAUCCAUGUUGAUCACUCUCUUUAACAGCCAUGUAAUUACAACCCGAAUCCUCAUCAUUGUGUUGGAAGGUACCCUAAGACACAAACAAACGCACAAAAACAACUCUUUUUGGGUUUUUAAAACAAAAUUUUCAAAUGUUUAUGUGAUUUUCGGAUUUUUGCAUCAAAACACACUAAAACACACCAAAACUGCUCAAAAACACUUAAAAACAGCAAGGAACAAGUCUCCAAGUUAAGGGUGAUAAAAUCCCACGAAUUUGCAUCUAAAACACUUAGUUACCCCCCCACACUUAAAUCAAACAUUGUCCUCAAUGUUUCAAUCAUAAAACCACACUAAACAAAAAGAAACACACAAACAGCAAGUAAAUAACAAAACUGGGCAGAUUAGAAACAAGCAACAAAGUGAAGGGUUUUAGGAACGCAAAUCUGGAAUUGGAGUGAUUCCUAGGGCUUCCUUUGUUGAAUUGCAUGGGUUGCCUCCCAAGUAGCGCUUUCUUUAACGUCUUGCAGCCGGACGAAGACAUGAUCAUGCCCCAUUGGAGCCCACGGCAUCUAGUGGGAUUUCUUCCACAACAUGCUCAACAAAGUUCUCGUAGUAGGGCUUCAAUCUAUGUCCAUUCACCUUGAAUUCUUGGCCGGUUUUCAAACUUUGUAUUUGGACUGCACCAUGCACAAAAACAUUAGUGAUAACAAAUGGGCCAACCCACUUAGAACGUAACUUAUCGGGAAAUAGACGAAGACGGGAGUUAAAUAGCAACACUUUCUGCCCUA